rnacentral:rRNA from 1 species
GACGAACCUUGCUAACGUUAUUCGGAAUUAUUGGGUUUAAAGGGUGCGUAGGCGGCCCUGUAAGUCAGUGGUGAAAUACUGCAGCUUAACUGUAGCAUUGCCAUUGAUACUGUAGGGCUUGAGUACAGAUGAGGUAGGCGGAAUUGAUGGUGUAGCGGUGAAAUGCAUAGAUACCAUCAAGAACACCGAUUGCGAAGGCAGCUUACUAAGCUGUAACUGACGCUGAGGCACGAAAGCGUGGGGAUCGAACAGG